AAAAAAAAGACUGGGCCUCAUUAUAUAGCCUUGGCUGGCCUAGAACACUCUAUGUAGACCAGGCUGGCCUCAGACUCACAUGUUCUCUACCUCCCAUGAUGGGAUUAAAGGUGUGUGCCAUCACAGCUCAGCCUUUUUUGUCUCUCACCACCACCCCCUCCCCCCCUUUUGGGUUUUGAGAAUGGUUCUCACUCUGUAGUCAAGGCUGGCCUGGAACUCAUGGUCCUCUCACCUUACCUUAUCCCUCUCUGGGAUGUCAGGUGUGCUGGGAUGUCAGGUGUGCUGGGAUGUCAGGUGUGCUGGGAUGUCAGGUGUGCUGGGAUGACUGAUAAGUGUGCUAGGAUGACUGACUGACAGGUGUGCUGGCAUGACAGGUGUG
rnacentral:lncRNA from 1 species